UGGGGAAUUGUUCACAAUGGGCGCAAGCCUGAUGACGCAACGCCGCGUGGAGGAUGAAGGUCUUCGGAUUGUAAACUCCUGUUGCCAGGGACGAAAAGCUUCGACCUAAUACGUCGAAGUCUGACGGUACCUGGUGAGGAAGCCCCGGCUAACUCUGUGCCAGCAGCCGCGGUAAUACAGAGGGGGCAAGCGUUGUUCGGAUUUACUGGGCGUAAAGGGCGCGUAGGCGGUGUGUCAAGUCAGUUGUGAAAUCUCCGAGCUUAACUCGGAACGGUCAACUGAUACUGUCACACUAGAGUACAGAAGGGGCAAUCGGAAUUCUUGGUGUAGCGGUGAAAUGCGUAGAUAUCAAGAGGAACACCUGAGGCGAAGGCGGGUUGCCGGGCUGAUACUGACGCUGAGGCGCGAAAGCUAGGGUAGCAAACGGGAUUAGAUACCCAAGUAGUCCCUGAGCGGGCUGGCAAGGCGCAU
rnacentral:rRNA from 1 species